rnacentral:lncRNA from 9 species
CCGCAAGCUCGUGGUUCCUAGUCGGAUUCGUUUCCGCUGUGCCCUGACGGGAACUCCUGGGUGGUUUCUUUGCUGUUGUUGUUGUGGAGGUGUAUGAGUUUUCUUUAUAUAUGUUUUGGAGGUGAACCUCACGGGCAGUGGUCCCUUUCUCCUCAGUGCUUCUGUAGAGCUGCUGUCCACAGUGUGCCAGCCACUGGCCAGAAGGAGCCAUUUCUGCUUAAUUGAGUUCAGUCAGUAGUUAGGUCUGCCUCUUGCAGUGAACAGAAUAAAGCAGCCUAUGGUUCACUCCCAGGGGCCACCACACAAGUGUGUCCAUGCAGCUGGAAUUUCAGGUGUGUCACCCUGGAGCUGAGGCCUCCAGAUGGACUCGUAGAAGGGAGAUGUGUAAGGCUCCAUCCCUCAGCAGCCCACGAUCUCUGAAGGUUUGCCACUGUGGCCAAUGUUUUAUGGAAGCUUCUGAGGCCGUAGAGCAGAGGGAAGUUCUGAGCACACGGAGGACAAGCCAGGGUGGUGCUGUGUGGCCGCAAACAACCCUAAGUAGGGGAUACGUGUGGGGGACAGGCUCUAACACCUUGAUUCCUUAUGUCUGUGUCUCUGCAGUAUGUUUCAUGGAGAGUCUGAGUGACAGCAACCAUGAUGAAAGUGAUACAGACUCAGUGGUGGAGAGCCUGAGCAGCCGCCAGGAUGAGGAGGCUGCAGCAACCCUCGAUGAUGUUGUGGAGGCCGGCGGGAGUGAGAAGACGGAGGAAGAGGCCCUGGCUGGGGCAAAUGAGGAGGAGGUGGGGCCGGGAACUGAGAAGGUGCAGGAGGAGGCUGCCUGCAUUGACGAGGCAGAGGAGGAGGCAGGCCCAUCCCUUGAAAAUGACGAGGAGUCCCCAGCCAGCGACCUGGUUGAGCAGGAAGACCAGCUUGCCCCCAAGGUAAGCUCACCUUUCUUGAUCGGAGAUUUAAAAAGGUGCCUCCUUUCUUCUUGGAUGUGCCUACUUCAGAAAAGGAAAUCUGAGCAAGUCCAUUAUAGAGGAUAUAUGCACAUUCCUCUGUGGAGGAAUGUUGAGUCAAAGUUUGGUACCAACCAAUAACUCCUUCCAAGGGGCAUUGGCAAAAGGGACCACAUCAGUUCCCAAGUGUACAUAGGGAGCAUUUGUCUUUGAAGAAGCCUGAAUGUUUUGUUUUGUUGUCUUUUUGCCUUUUCUAGGGCCACUCCUGUGGCAUAUGGAGGUUCCCAGGCUCAGGGUCAAACCAGAGCUGUAGCCACCGGCCUGCGCCAGAGCCACAGCAACGCGGGAUCCGAGCCACGUCUGCAACCUACACCUCAGCUCACGGCAAUGCCGGAUCCUUAACCCACUGAGCAAGGCCAGGGAUCGAACCCGCAACCUCAUGGUUCCUGGUCGGAUUCGUUAACCACUGCGCCACGACGGGAACUCCAAAGAAGCCUGAAUGUUUUUUAAAUGAACGUGGACUUGGGAGGUCUUCCAUGAAAAGCUGGUGCCUUUUCCACAGGUGUCUUUGCUGUCUUCUUUUGGGGAAACGGACUCAACUCUGCCUUCUGUCUGUGUGCCUGCGGUCCGCAACCACAGGAAGACCUGUGGCCACAGUGCAGAGGAUGCUGUGACACUCACAGUGUUUUCUUUUCUCUCAUCACAGGUGGACGGGAUGGACGAUGAAAGCCGUAAGUAUUCUGGAACCCGGCUCUGCUGAGGAGAAGUCCAGGUGUUGAGGAAGGGCGGGGGGUGCUUUCCUGCCCCUUUGGUUGCAGAGACACCCUGAUUCUGGGUUCCUCCUGGGAAAGGGGGUGACGGAUGGGGUGAAAGAGACUGACUUCCCACAAAAGGGCCAUCCCAAGUCCUCGGGUCCCUGGAGGAAAGGAGGCUCUUUGUAUGGUGGGGGUAGGUGUCCGGGAACAUUG